GCAAGUCGAACGAUGAACCCCGCUUGCGGGGGGAUUAGUGGCGAACGGGUGAGUAACACGUGAGUAACCUGCCCUUAACUCUGGGAUAAGCCUUGGAAACGAGGUCUAAUACUGGAUAUUGACUUUACCUCGCAUGGGGUUUUGUUGAAAGAUUUAUUGGUUUUGGAUGGACUCGCGGCCUAUCAGCUUGUUGGUGAGGUAAUGGCUCACCAAGGCGACGACGGGUAGCCGGCCUGAGAGGGUGACCGGCCACACUGGGACUGAGACACGGCCCAGACUCCUACGGGAGGCAGCAGUGGGGAAUAUUGCACAAUGGGCGAAAGCCUGAUGCAGCGACGCCGCGUGAGGGAUGACGGCCUUCGGGUUGUAAACCUCUUUCAGUAGGGAACAAGGCCAGCAUUUUUGUUGGUUGAGGGUACUUGCAGAAGAAGCGCCGGCUAACUACGUGCCAGCAGCCGCGGUAAUACGUAGGGCGCAAGCGUUAUCCGGAAUUAUUGGGCGUAAAGAGCUCGUAGGCGGUUUGUCGCGUCUGCCGUGAAAGUCCGGGGCUCAACCCCGGAUCUGCGGUGGGUACGGGCAGACUAGAGUGAUGUAGGGGAGACUGGAAUUCCUGGUGUAGCGGUGAAAUGCGCAGAUAUCAGGAGGAACACCGAUGGCGAAGGCAGGUCUCUGGGCAUUAACUGACGCUGAGGAGCGAAAGCAUGGGGAGCGAACAGGAUUAGAUACCCUGGUAGUCCAUGCCGUAAACGUUGGGCACUAGGUGUGGGGGACAUUCCACGUUUUCCGCGCCGUAGCUAACGCAUUAAGUGCCCCGCCUGGGGAGUACGGCCGCAAGGCUAAAACUCAAAGGAAUUGACGGGGGCCCGCACAAGCGGCGGAGCAUGCGGAUUAAUUCGAUGCAACGCGAAGAACCUUACCAAGGCUUGACAUGAACCGGAAAUACCUGGAAACAGGUGCCCCGCUUGCGGUCGGUUUACAGGUGGUGCAUGGUUGUCGUCAGCUCGUGUCGUG
rnacentral:rRNA from 1 species